rnacentral:misc_RNA from 1 species
UCGAAACCCGAACGUCCGAGAGGGGGGGAAACCCCCCUUCCGGGCUUUCGAACCCUUUCAACACCCUUGUGCACUCGCUGUAGGUCCCUCGGGAUCUACGUCUCCCUUCGAACUCGCAUGUCUACAGAAUGUAUGCCUCGUGUCUCGGCCUCGACCCCCAGGGUCCCGCGUCGAAGACCGUGAAAUCAAUA